GCAAAAAAUCCUUACCCUUAUAUGUGAGUUUUCAAUUUUAUACGAUAAAACGGUAGAGCAUUUGAAUCCUUAAUCGUAGCCUGCAAAUGUAGCGAUAUUAUACGUACAACAACCUAUACAAGUUUUGAAUAGAAUUUUCAUUGGCACUAAUUCCUUAGCCAGAGUCACUAGCAAAAUGUAGCGACAUUAAAGGUUCAGCAACAUAUACAAGUUAGCCAAGAUCCAGAUAUCUAAAUAAGGCUCGUUGGGUUCAACAGAAAAUUUUCCCAAAAUCAAUAUAUUAAGCUUAUAACCAAGAUUACGGUCAGGAUAAUAAUCCCACCUAUAUAUAUAUAUAUAUGAUAAUAAUAAUAAUAAGAUUUAAUAUAAAAUUUACAUAGCAACUUGAACUAAUAACAAUAAAUAAACAGUAAAUAAAUACAAUUUCAAAUUAAUUAUCAAUCAAUAUCUUAAUCCAAACGACCCUUUGUUAAAAAUUAGCACUCCACUAUACCUUCCUUUCAAACCCUAGUUAUUAGGUUAGGUUGAUGUUACUACCGCCGCAAGAAAUAGUUAGCUAGUAAUAUAUACUUGUAAUAAAAUGUCCUUUGACAGAAUGUUGAUACAUAAUGGAGUUAUCAGUUUAAUUACAAUGCUUUGUAUUCGCACGAAAAUCUAGCCUGGAACGAAAAGGACAAGUAUCAGACAGUGAGCAAAGUCCUAGCCUUUUAACCAUUCUAUAACGCAAUUAGUAACAAACCCUAAAUUACCAAGAAAAACUUAUCCAACUGGUUAUUAAAGCAAGACUAUGGAAUGAUAAUUAAAGGAACAUAUUUUCCUUAAAGCAAACUAGUUAUAAAGAAUACGCAAAGCUGUUCCUAACCAAGCAGAAACAAUGUUAUAUAUACUUGUUUUGUUACAAGGAAGAUAAAGCUGAAACCAUUUCCCUAUUUACACAACUGCAAAAAAACAGAUGCAAAAAUGUUUUCUUCUGCAUCUCAAAUCUGGACAAAGAGAAAAGCUGCUGGGGCUGACUUUAUCUGUUCAAUCUGCGCAUUAAGAUUUUGCAAAUCCAACAAGCUGAUAAACUUUAAUUUCUUCAGAACCCAGAUAUAGGAAUUAAGAUCUACAGACCUGAAACUUGAAAAAGUCACAUAAUAAAAAAAACAAAUCAGUAGAUUUGGCAAAUCAAAUAAGGAAUGAAGUUAUACAGUAGAUACAAAUAUAUUCCAUGUUUUUUCUUCAGAUCCCAAAAAUAGAAAAGAAGAUCAGAUCUAGAGACCUGGAUAUUAAAAUCAGAUAUUAGAUCUCUACUAGUAAUAAAGAUAAAAGAAAUUAAGGACAACCAGAAUACAAAUCAGGUCAAAUGAAUGUAGAGCUCCCUUCAAUCCAAAAAGAGAUCCAACUUAGGGCAAUGAAGCUCCUGACAUAUGCAACCCACAAACCUAUCCAAUCAAAUAAUAGAUAGGACUGAGGAAUCCAUAGGUCGGCAGCUUAAUCUUACCUGUUAGAUCCUCUGUUGGACUUCAAGGAGCUCCACUCUCAAAACCCUAAAAAAACAUUCUUAUAUCAUAUAAAAAGACAAAAAAAGUCAAACCUAAAUCCUGUCCUAAAACUGCCAAAAACUGUCUUCAACUUCCAUCUCAAAACAACCCUAAACACAAACCUCACAUGUCAACAUAAGAAAAAGAUCAAAUUCUUGAAUCGAUCUACAUAUAUAUACAGAUGUAUGGUCAAGAAAGACAAAAAAAAACUGAAUAGAGAUAACCCUAGUUAGAAAAAGAAUGAACAAGAGAAGCAAAUUAGAAACAACUCAAAACAGCUAAUAAGAUGAAGUAGCAAAAGAAGAGAUAAGUGAGAAUUGUUGAAAGGAGAGGGGAGUAUAUAUAAUGGGUGUAGGAAAUGAGAUAUGGUAAGUAAGGGUAGUGCCAGUAUUUUUGGUUUUCUUUUGUUUGGUAAGAGAGUGAAAGCAUUGGGGGACGUGUGGGGCAAAUUAAAGUUUUUCUUGUGUGAUUACUAUUGC
rnacentral:lncRNA from 1 species